GACGAACGCUGGCGGCGUGCUUAACACAUGCAAGUCGAACGGAAAGGCCCUGCUUUUGUGGGGUGCUCGAGUGGCGAACGGGUGAGUAACACGUGAGUAACCUGCCCUUGACUUUGGGAUAACUUCAGGAAACUGGGGCUAAUACCGGAUAGGAGCUCCUGCUGCAUGGUGGGGGUUGGAAAGUUUCGGCGGUUGGGGAUGGACUCGCGGCUUAUCAGCUUGUUGGUGGGGUAGUGGCUUACCAAGGCUUUGCCGGGUAGCCGGCCUGAAAGGGUGACCGGCCAAAAUGGGAAUGAGAAACGGCCCAGAAUCCUACGGGAGGCAGCAGUGGGGAAUAUUGGAAAAUGGGCGGAAGGCUGAUGCAGCAACGCCGCGGGCGGGAUGACGGGCUUCGGGUUGUAAACCGCUUUCGGCUGUGACGAAGCGUGAGUGACGGUAAUGGGUAAAGAAGCACCGGCUAACUACGUG
rnacentral:rRNA from 1 species